UUCCCUUCCUCUUCCCCUGCCUCCCCCAGCUUCUCCUCCAGCUUCUUUUCAUCUUCUCUCGGUGGAUGGAUGAUAGCUCUCCAGGUUGCAGCUCUCCAGGUUGCAGCUCUUCAGGUCAAGGAUCUUGUCUCAUGCCUAGGAGGAAGAUCCUUAAAAUGCAACACUAAUCUCAUCUGGCUGCUGGGAUGUGAGUUGCAGAAGGCAGAGGUUUUGCUUUUGUUUGUUUGUUGUUUAUUCACUCCUGUACAGUCAAUAUCAAGAUCAAUUCCUCACAUAUGAUAGCUGCUCAAUAAAAGUCUGUUGAAUUUU